GACGAACGCUGGCGGCGCGCCUAACACAUGCAAGUCGAACGAGCGAGAGAGAGCUUGCUUUCUCAAGCGAGUGGCGAACGGGUGAGUAACGCGUGAGGAACCUGCCUCAAAGAGGGGGACAACAGUUGGAAACGACUGCUAAUACCGCAUAAGCCCACAGGUCGGCAUCGACCGGAGGGAAAAGGAGCAAUCCGCUUUGAGAUGGCCUCGCGUCCGAUUAGCUAGUUGGUGAGGUAAUGGCCCACCAAGGCGACGAUCGGUAGCCGGACUGAGAGGUUGAACGGCCACAUUGGGACUGAGACACGGCCCAGACUCCUACGGGAGGCAGCAGUGGGGAAUAUUGCACAAUGGGGGAAACCCUGAUGCAGCGACGCCGCGUGGAGGAAGAAGGUCUUCGGAUUGUAAACUCCUGUUGUUGAGGAAGAUAAUGACGGUACUCAACAAGGAAGUGACGGCUAACUACGUGCCAGCAGCCGCGGUAAAACGUAGGUCACAAGCGUUGUCCGGAAUUACUGGGUGUAAAGGGAGCGCAGGCGGGAAGACAAGUUGGAAGUGAAAUCUAUGGGCUCAACCCAUAAACUGCUUUCAAAACUGUUUUUCUUGAGUAGUGCAGAGGUAGGCGGAAUUCCCGGUGUAGCGGUGGAAUGCGUAGAUAUCGGGAGGAACACCAGUGGCGAAGGCGGCCUACUGGGCACCAACUGACGCUGAGGCUCGAAAGUGUGGGUAGCAAACAGGAUUAGAUACCCUGGUAGUCCACACCGUAAACG
rnacentral:rRNA from 1 species